GCCAGCGUGGCAUAGUGGUUUGUUGAGCAUUGAACUAUGACUCUGGAGACCAGGGUUCAAUUCCCAGCUUGGCC
rnacentral:tRNA from 1 species